UACCUUCCGCGUUACAUUAACGCACAGUCUACAGUGUAUAUAGCUCUAGAUUCUGUAUAGAUGUAGCUGGGUGGUAAAUGUUGGUUGAAUAAGUGUACUGUUUCAAAGUGUUGUUUUUCUUUUGUAUUACGGUAGCAAUGCUAUUGAAUUAUUUUGGUUCAGUUAUGUAAUUGUAUUUGUUUUUUUUUAUUUAAAUAUGUUCAAGUAGUUGGUCUCAGGCUUUGCACAUUUUGACCACCAGAGAGCAGUGUUUCAAGGUAUUUAUUGUUUCCCAAGACGGGAAAGGAAAUGCAUCUUGUUCUCUUCCUGUGUUGCUAUGCGAUGUGCUGAACUUGGAGGUGAACUGUACGUGUUUUAUAUGCAGGAGAUAGUUUUGGCAGAAAAUCGGGCGGUCAUUUCCUGCACGUGACAAUAAGGUGUGUGAUCAUUGGUGUGCUCCAGUAUUAAGAGGGAACUGAGACGUUACUGUGGAAUCCAGAGGCCACUGCCGGAUUUCUUUUCCUUGUCUUUUAAAUAUUGUAAUUUCGUUUUUUGGGCAUUUUCUCUGUUAUUUUGGAGAUUGCCACAUCUCACCAGUAGUUACCCAAUGUUUGGUACAUAUAUGUUCUGAUUUUAGAACAAAAGUAAGAAAUAAGACAGCUUUGUUUAAUCUGUCUCAACUGAAAAUAAAAUGUAUUGCACAUUAAGAACCCCAGUUAUUGUAUCCUCUGAGGCUAAGUAUUUCCUGGGCUACACAUUUUGGUACCAGAAGUGGGGUGUCCAAAAAAAAAAAAAAAAAAAAAAGAUUUAAAAUCUUAAAGUAACCGACUACUGCACAGUGGCAUCUUAUGUACGAUUAAUUAAGAAAUACGGCAGUGGUUAAGACUACGGGGAUUAACCACCACACAGAGAGGACGUGCCGAGGUGCUGAUUUCACAACGUGACUGGAGCUGCCUUGGAACGGAACGCAUCUGGAUCCCCUCACUGAUGUCCAGCCAGCAGGAUUUAAUGGUGUUUCAAACCACAGACUUUUCCCCAUAGUAUCCUUGUUAUUGCAAAACUUCACUGAGUCUUCUGUUGGACUAAAUUCUGGACUGAAUCAAACAAAUCGAUCACAUCAUGUCGACCGUUCCAGGUGCUGUGGACAAUCUUAGCGGUAGUGAUUCAUCCAAUCAGAGUCCAUUAGAAGCGGCAGGGCCAAGCAGAGUUCCAGAUGAUGUGAUACAAAGUCAGCUUCAAGAAUUCGCUAGGUUGCAUGAUGAUCUUGUCAGGCUAAGUGAUGAAACCAGGGCUCAAAGAGACAACUCUAGCCGUGCCCUCACUCGUUCAUACAUUUAUGUCCCACGUGAACGCAAGGUCCAGUUCUUUUGUGGGGAGUGGAAAAAGGAUCGGAGAUCUGUUGGGGAAUUUAUUGAAGAGGUUGAGAGGGUCAUAAGGACCAGAGAAAAGACAACUGAGGAACAGUGUGAUUUCAUACUUUCAUUGUUACGGGGACCAGCACUGCAGGAAGUCAGGUUGUGUAUGGGGAAUAGAUCAGUGGGGCCUAGUGAUUUAUUCUCUUUCUUGAGAAAUGCUUUUGGGGAAAGACGCAGUGUUGCACAACUUUUGCAGUCGUUUUACAAUCGUAAACAGGCAGAUGGAGAAGACCUCCGUGACUACUCUCAUGCACUGUCCCAGAUACUGAGUUCUGUAGUAAAACAGUCCACAAAUGCUGUACCUGAUGAGAAAACAGUUCCUAGGGAUCAGUUUAUUGAAGGUUUAAGGCAGGUCCCUCUGAGACGUGAGCUAAGGAAAAUGGUCGGAGAGAAACCAGACUCUAGUCUGCUAGAUGUGAGAAAUGAAGCCCUCCUCUGGGAAAUGGAGGAUAACCGAGCCCAUUCUGCUAAAGGAGUAAGGAACAAUAUGGUUCAGUCAGGAGCAUCCGAAACCCAGUGCUCUCUGACUAAAAUAACUCACUGACCCCUCUUCAGCUUUAGAUGAGGUGCAACGGGCUGUUGCCCACCAGGGGGAGCAGUUAGCUGAGUUAGGGAAAGCAUUGACUGCCCUAUCAACUGCUGUAGGUGAACUGCGUAAACAUGGUAAUUUGACUUCACCAGAACCCAAACAAAGAGUUAGACCACAGCCUGCAUUUAUACAUGAUGGUCAGCCUAUCUGUUUUAAAUGUCAAGGGGUUGGACAUAUUGCGAGAAAAUGUCCACAAAGCAAAGUUGUUUCUACGGAUGCUGCUUCCGUUCCUCCUGGGGCACAGGGAAACUAGAACCCUCGGUUGUCAUGAGCCAAACAAUUCAGGGGGAAACAACUGGCUCAUUAACAGAAGCCUUGAACAGAGAUAUAGUUUUAGAGAGAGCAGUCGGCGAAUGUAAGACGGUGGAAAUAAAACUACAGGGUGUGAAAGUUUCAUGUGUUCUUGACACUGGCAGUCAAGUAAGUACCAUUUCAGAGGGUUUUUUCAACAAGCAGUGGUCAGCAAAAGACAGCAUCAUUCAUCAUAUUUUUGAAUGGCUAAAAAUCACAGCCGCCAAUGGACUAGAAAUACCUUACAAAGGUUAUGUCGAGCUUGAGGUUGAGGCGAUGGGUCUGACAAUUCCGGAAAGAGGAUUUCUUGUAGUUAAAGAUUCGGCACAGUCAUCCUCUGUGCCAUGUCUUCUUGGAAUGAAUGUAAUUCAUUCCAAGAAGAAAAAGUGCCAGGAACUCAUACAUGGCAAAUUUGAACCCACGAUGCAUGGUAAACUUGACUGUAACUGAAGGGAGGCUUUUCAUUGAGUACAGACAGUUAGUUUAUCGAACAGGCUCUCAUUUGUCAGGAUUGCUGGGAAAGAGGCAGUUCAUGUGCCAGCCUCAUCUGCAGCUACUGUUAAAGCAUAAGGACUUAGAACUUUCAGUGAAAAAGGUCCUUUAAUGCUUCUAGAACCUGGCCAUUCCCCUUUACCUGGAGGUUUGGUGGUGGUGCCAACCUUGGUGACAUCUGAGAGCCAUGUUUUUCCUGUCCAGGUCAUGAACUUAUCUGAUGAGGAUAUCUGGUUGCAACCCAGGACUAGACUUGGACUUUUGACUGAAGUUGACUCUGUAAACAGUGACCAGUUGUGUAAAGUUCAGUUUCAGAGAAUUGCAGCCGAUACAGAUGAAGUCAGCAUUAGCAGACAGCCCGAACCACCAACAGAUGUCCAGUCUAUCGUCGAUAAAUUAAAGGUUAGUGGAACUCCAGAGCAAGAAGUGCAGCUAGCUCUGCUGCUGGGGAAAUACUCAGUUGUGUUUGCAGCAGAAGAUGAAGACUUAGGUUACACAAAGUACAACAUGAAAUACACCUCACAGAUGACACACCUGUGACACAGCCUUACCGACGGAUACCCCCCACACAAUACAAUGAAGUGAGGGAACACAUUGGCAAGUUGUUGAGGAAAGGAGUUAUCAAGGCAGAGAAUAAUGGAUUAAUUAUCGAUAGUGAUGGACUUUCAUGGAUUUAUCAUCAUCAUCUUCAGCUCAAACACCAACCUUCAGCUCAAACGAUGGCUUGAGUAUCGAGGGCUUAAAAAGA